CUAAGCUUAAACCUAGCACUAAAACUAAACCUAAGCUUAAACCUAGCACUAAAACUAAACCUAAGCUUAAACCUAGCACUAAAACUAAACCUAAGCUUAAACCUAGCUAACACUAAUGCCUUGGGAUAUUACCAUGGUCCAAUAGCACACACACACACACACACACACACACACACACACACACACACACACACACACACACACACACACACACACACACACACACACACACACACACACACACACACACACACACACACACACACACACACACACACAGAUACAGGAAACUCCAUAGUCACAUGACAGGGUACAGGAAGUUCCAGUUAGUCCUGUAGGGAAAGGCACCAGCAUGGUUCAUCUGCAGUGUUUUAACAUGCAUUGUCAUGUAAAACAUUGAACCUCGUAAUCAAAUUUGUUCAGUCUUAUUUUUAUCUGCCUUCCAAAAUGUUUUUUAUUCUGCAGGAUUGCGCCCUCCCCUGUACUGGGUUAGGAUAGUACCCUCCCCAUCCCUGUACUGGGUUAGGAUAGUACCCUCCCCCAUCCCUGUCCUGGGUUAGGAUAGUACCCUCCCCUGUACUGGGUUAGGAUAGUACCCUCCCCAUCCCUGUACUGGGUUAGGAUAGUACCCUCCCCUGUACUGGGUUAGGAUAGUACCCUCCCCAUCCCUGUACUGGGUUAGGAUAGUACCCUCCCCAUCCCUGUACUGGGUUAGGAUAGUACCCUCCCCUGUACUGGGUUAGGAUAGUACCCUCCCCAUCCCUGUACUGGGUUAGGAUAGUACCCUCCCCUGUACUGGGUUAGGAUAGUACCCUCCCCAUCCCUGUACUGGGUUAGGAUAGUACCCUCCCCUGUACUGGGUUAGGAUAGUACCCUCCCCUGUACUGGGUUAGGAUAGUACCCUCCCCUGUACUGGGUUAGGAUAGUACCCUCCCCAUCCCUGUACUGGGUUAGGAUAGUACCCUCCCCAUCCCUGUCCUGGGUUAGGAUAGUACCCUCCCCAUCCCUGUACUGGGUUAGGAUAGUACCCUCCCCUGUACUGGGUUAGGAUAGUACCCUCCCCGUCCCUGUACUGGGUUAGGAUAGUACCCUCCCCUGUACUGGGUUAGGAUAGUACCCUCCCCAUCCCUGUACUGGGUUAGGAUAGUACCCUCCCCAUCCCUGUACUGGGUUAGGAUAGUUCCCUCCCCAUCCCUGUACUGGGUUAGGAUAGUACCCUCCCCUGUACUGGGUUAGGAUAGUACCAUCCCCAUCCCUGUACUGGGUUAGGAUAGUACCCUCCCCUGUACUGGGUUAGGAUAGUACCCUCCCCAUCCCUGUACUGGGUUAGGAUAGUACCCUCCCCAUCCCUGUACUGGGAUAGUACCCUCCCCUGUACUGGGUUAAGAUUAGGUUACUGUAUGUGUUGAGUGGCGGUUUUGUUUGACAGAUUGUCAAGACUAUCCGUUUUAUUCUGGUUGUGAUUUAAGACUGUACAUUUUAUUCUGAUUGUGAAGGAGGAACUCCCAUUUCUAUUUGAUGAUUAAUUCAGGUCAGAUUAUUAUUUGUCUAUUACAGUAAGGCUUGUUGAGUAUCUGGGUGUAUUACAUAGUGUGUUUUCUCUUUUAAGGGCCAUAUUCUUCUCCCUCAUGACACUAUCUAACCCUAACCCAAUAAGGGCUUGGUGAGGGUAUCCAGAUGUAUUAUUAUCAGGUGUAUGGACAGUUUAUUAGGUACACCCAUCUAGUACCGGGUCGGACCCCCAUUUGCCUCCAGAACAGCCUGAAUUCUUCGAGCAUGGAUUCUACAAGUCGGAAAUGUUCCACAGGGAUGUUGGUCCAUGCUGACGCGAUGGCAUCAUGCAGUUGCUGCAGAUUGGACAGCGGUCCACCACCACCAGCCUGUACUGCUGACACCAGGCAGGACGGGUCCAUGGACUCAUGCUGUUUACGCCAAAUCCUGACUCUGCCAUCAGCCUGUACCGCUGACACCAGGCAGGAUGGGUCCAUGGACUCAUGCUGUUUACACCAAAUCCUGACUCUGCCAUCAGCCUGUACCGCUGACACCAGGCAGGAUGGGUCCAUGGACUCAUGCUGUUUACACCAAAUCCUGACUCUGCCAUCAGCCUAUACCGCUGACACCAGGCAGGAUGGGUCCAUGGACUCAUGCUGUUUACACCAAAUCCUGACCAGGCAAUAUUUCUACACUUCUCAAUUGUCCAGUGUUGGUGAUCGCGUGCCCACUGGAGCCCUGUGUGGUUGUCUGCUGCAAUAGCCGAUCCGUGAAGGAUCCACGAGUUGUGUGUUCCGAGAUGCCGUUCUGUACACCACUGUUGUUCUGCGUUGUGAUUUGUCUGUUUGUGGUCCGCUUGCGUGAUUCUUGCCGUUCUCCUUCGACCUCUCUCAUCAAUGAGCUGUUUUUGCCCACAGGACUGCCGCUGACUGAAUGUUUUUUGUUGGUCAAACCGUUCUCGGUAAAGGUCGUCUGCUGUUUCUGAGAGACUGUAUCCGGCGUGCCUGGCACUGACCAUCGUUGCUUAGGUCUCUUGUUUUGCCUAUUCUAACGUUCAAUCCAACAGUAACUCAAUGCCUCAAUGCCUAUAUGCAUGCUAUAUAUAGCAAGCAACGGCCACGUUACCCACUGUCUGGAGCGAUCCGUUUUGGAGAACUAGGUGCUGUACCUAAUAAACUGGCUGAUGUAUAUCAAGGUGUAUCAUACCAUUGUUUUCCUCUGUAAGUGUUCUGUUCCUCUGGGGCCUGAUGACAUCCUUACAGGAACACCUGAGAUCUGACCGCUCUUUACAGUUUCUAAUACAAUUUACUACUGAAAUGCCCAUGGUGUCUGUGUCAUUUAAUCGAUUCAUCAAAAAUGUCUGUAUGUACAGUCGCUAAUGAAAGAAUACACACCCUUUUCAUAUUUUGCUGCCUUAAAAUUUUAUCUAAAAAGGGAUUACAUUCGAUUUUUACCCCACCAAUCUACACUACCUACUCCACAUGUUUUAAGUGAAAGAAACAUUUUAGAAAAUGUUCCAAAUUAAUAAAAACAUUCAAAUGAA
rnacentral:lncRNA from 1 species